rnacentral:tRNA from 1 species
GGGCGCGUAGCUCAGCUGGAAGAGCACUACGGUGACAUCGUAGGGGUCACAGGUUCAAGCCCUGUCGCGCCCACCA